GGGGGGGGGGGGGGGGGGGGGGGGGGCGGGGGGGGGGGGCGGUAGGGGGCGUGCGGGGGGGCGCGAGUGGCGGAGGGGUGAGUAGGACGGGAGUAGCCUGCCCGCCGCUUUUGGAUAACGCUAGGUAACUGGUGCUAAUCCUGGAUAUGUGCUCCUGCUGCAUGGUGGGGGUUGGACAGCUCCGGCGGUUGUGGAUGGACUCGCGGCCUAUCCGCUUGUUGGUGGGGUAUUGGCGUCCCAAGGCGGCGACGGGUAGCCGGCCUGCGCGGGUGACCGGCCACAUUGGGCCUGAGAUACGGCCCAGACUCCUACGGGAGGCAGCAGUGGGGAAUAUUGCACAAUGGGCGCAAGCCUGAUGCAGCAACGCCGCGUGCGGGAUGACGGCCUUCGGGUUGUAAACCGCUUUCAGCAGGGACGAAGCUUUUUGUGACGGUACCUUCAGAAGAAGCACCGGCUAACUACGUG
rnacentral:rRNA from 1 species